UUAGAGGUGCAUAACACUAAAAGAUCUGAAGGCCUAAACAAAGAAAUUAGAGCCCCUGUUAUCAGCUGCUCAAAAUCCCUCUCUACUCAAAAUCCCCCUCUGCUCAAAAUCCCUAAAAUUAGAAAAUGUAAAUCUUAUAUAGAUAGCUCCAUUUCUCAACUCCUAAUUAAAGGAAUAUGUUGGCUGCUCUGUUUCUCUGCAUCUAGUUACUGACCCAAAAAUUCAAAUCUUAUAUGUAUUCAAAUCCUUAAUACUUUCAUUUUCUUUUGGGUUAUACGAAAGUUUGUUGCGUUUUCUUAGGAUUUUCCAAAUACAACAAGAAUGAAGGGAAAAUUUUACAUUUGGGGUUCUUUAUAAAUAUUCUAGAAGGCAAAAAUUUUAACAUGCAGCUAGCAAUAAUUAUUAUAUUAAUGUUUUUACAUUUGUAUUCUCAUAUUUCAUCUCAAAUUUCUUUGACCCGUUUGAAUAUUUACCGAAAUUCGUACAGAUUGUGUUAUUUAAGUGUUGUUAUUUUCUGAUUCUAAGUCUUGACCGAACUCUCAGCUAUAUAUUUUCCUGGGUAAGUGAAAGUUUUUUCUUGAAAGACCGUUUGGUGUUGUUAUUGCGAUUGUAUGUUUGGUAUUUCAUUCUUUUUUUGUUCUUAUGUGGUUAUAUUUUUUUCCCGCAUAAAUUUGGCAACUUUCUAGUUCGAGAAAGCUUUGAGAUGAGAAAUUAGGUUCUCUCCUACUACUUUCAAGCUCCACUUUUACUCUAUUCAAGGUAACCUCAUAACUCGAAGUUAGUUUUAUGAUCUAUUUUAUCACACUGUGGUUUGAGUUUGGGCCUGUGUUGUGCUGAUUUGGGUUUUAAGAAUUUUGACAUGAGGUUUUAGAUGGGGUAUUUAGUUUCAUAUGUGGUAUUUUAAGAUGGAGUAAUAUUUGUUCUAAUUACACAUUGCCUGAUUAGUUUUGAAAAACUUUGUCUAUGGACUGGUUUAGCCGACAUGUAGUAGAAAAUGUCUGAAAUUUGCUAAUUGUUAGUUUCUUUAACAUUUUACAGUUUGAUAACAUUUGUAUGUAAUAUGCUUUACAUUUUUGUACUAUUAUCUUAUUUGCUUAGUUGACACGGUGAGUUCACAGAAAUUCCAUAUUGAUUCUAAAUUUUUAGGUUCAAGUUGAUUGAAGAAAUUCAAAAUAAUAUCAUAUUCUAGACCUUAGUCUUAUUGGUUUUUUUUGUUUCUCUUUCGGACGGUACCUAUUAUUGUAUAGUUUUGGGUGUUCAUCAGUUUGAUGUAAGGAGUUUAAAAGCAUAGCAGAGUCAAUCAGUAUGGUGGAAGUGGAUACGAAAAUGAAAAGGCUGAUAAGGAUAAAUUUGAAGUUUACAGCGGGUUGCAAGAGCAUAGAUUUCAGGCCUUUGUAAUUAGCACUAUGCAAAAACUUUUUAAGCAUGGAAAGCUCGACUCAGCAUUCUGUACUCUAAGUACAGUACUAAUGAAGAAAGAUUGUCUCAUCGACCUGAAGAUGUUGAGUUUGAGGACUGGAAAUACCUAAUAUAAUAUUUUGGAAGUCCGGAAUUUAAGAAAAAUCCUAUUACUGGAGACUAGAUAAAGUUUGGGAGAUCCAACAUACACGCAAGGAUGAUAGAGGCGAACUGGUGUGGUUGGAUUCACAAUCCCAAUAAAUUCAUAGUCAACUCCAGGAAGUUGUCGCUCAGCAACAAUCUGAGGAGAUCGAGCAUCACAUGACUAGAGAUGAGAUUUUAUCCUCCGUUGUUGGUAAGAGAACAAGCUAUUUCGUGGAAAAGGAUACGGAAAGAAGCCUCCUAAAAAGAGUAACAUUCAGCAGGCAAACAUAGAGGCCAGCAUGUCUUCUGCUAUUGAUAUUGUGCGUCAAGAGAUGCAAGCCGAGAUGGAUAGGAAGUUGCAAGAAGAACGUGAACAAAUGGCUGCUGAGUUGCGAAGAAAUAUGGAAAUUGAGUUGGAAAGGAAGUUGGCAGAGGAGCGUCAACACGCAAAUGCAGAAGCAGACAAGAGGAUCUCUCUAGAAGUGGAGAAGAAGAUACAAGAACAAUUUGCUAGUUUCUUGACCAGAAUGCAACAACAACAGGUUCAACAUGAAGUCUCCUCCAUGACGCCACUCAUGCUCUGUGAUCAGGAUAGAAAUAGAAGCACUGAUAAAGGUGGAUGUUGGUAUCUGAUGUCAAUAACUACUGGUAUCAGUUACUUCUUCAUAUUUCUUUUUUCUUUUCCCCUCCCUUUAUUCUUUGCAAAAAUAUUGUAGACAUGCUACUUUGUUAUGACUAAGACGAUGAUAAUCUUAACGUGUAACCUGUAACAUUUUUUAGUUAAAUAAGGACCUCUAUGUUUCUAUUCCUCCUGGACUCAUCCGUAAAGCACAACAGGUGACAUGAUAUUUUUGCUUUGAAUCAUAUGCCUGAUCUGCCUGCCUGGCAUGGUGAUGCGACGCCCGUUCUGAAACUUAUUGUUUCUUCUGAAUCCCUCGUUUGAGGCAAUGUUGACUUGGAUGUAAUACUAGAUAUGUUUCAAUCUAUAUCUUCUGGAUCCCUCCUUUUAAGUUGAUGUGAACUUGUAUGUGACUAACAAGACAUGCUGCAAUCAAGAUCAAUCACUCAUCUAUGCUUAAUUCCAAAUUAGUAGGCAUCAGCUACGUCACUCCUCAAUUACUCAUUCUGCUUUAUUCAGGUUGGUUUCAUUCCAACACUACAUAUAGCUAUUCAACAUACCUCAACUAGUUUAAUCCAAUUAGUUUCGCCUUUGUGAAUCCAUUUAGUCAGUAUCUUCCAUUUGAAUAUUCUGAUUUUAUUUUCUUCUUUUGAUUUCAUUUUCUUCCAAUCUUCGCUAAGUUUGCAUGAAUUCUGGAUGAUUCAAGUUCAGAAAGCAAUUGUACAAUUCACAUAUUUCAAUCAGUGUCUUGGUUACAUUCUGAUGCAUGGUGAUUGAUCAGUACACAUAUAUGGACUUCCAUAUUUUUCCAUUGUAAGGGACAAGGCACUUAAAUAGUGGUAUCGUUCAAGGAUGGUGUCGGGCAAGGAGCAGUUACAAGGCACUUAAUAUUUUAUCAUUUUUGGGAUAUGUAUAUGCGUAAAAUUAAAUGUACAAUGAAGUGUCAGGUAGUAUAUAUAUAAUUGACUUUUUAAUAAUGAUAAUAUUUAUAAUAUUCGGCUUGAGAAAUUCUUUUGGUGUU